GAAAAAACAGAAAUAAUUCUGCAUCCACCAUGGCGGGAAUCUUCAGGAGUGUGCUUUUUGGUCUCUCUCCUGAUGAUGUUACUUGACAGUCUGUUGUACUUUGCAAUUGGUCUGUAUCUUGACAAGGUCCUCCACAAGGAAAAUGGAUUUUGUUACCCAUUGCAUUCCUUGAUUCAGAAGUGCUUUGGGAGGAAGAGAAAAAACAGAAAUA
rnacentral:misc_RNA from 1 species